rnacentral:ncRNA from 1 species
GACUCUGGAGAGUCCCUGAAAUGACAGGGCGCCGAAGGUGUACGGCAGUUUUGCGGACUGCUAAUCUCUCAGGCAAAAGGACAGAGCA